UUGCAUUUGUUAUAAUCCAGGAUGAUGUGGGGCUUUCUCUUCCCAGAGUCCUGGACUUGUAGCUCACGGUGCCUGGUGCUCAAUAAGACAACCUUUUUUCUUUGCUUGGGGAUGUAGGAAACCACAGCCUUGCCCCCCCCGUAGCGACCUGGACGGGAGAGACGAUCAUCGAAUCUUACUGCCCGAUUAAUUUGCUCAAAUCUUUUUUUUGACAUGGUAGCAUGAAACAGAAGAGCCCUGUCUACGGUGUACAUUUUAGGACAUCGUCAGGUGUCAGGAAAAAAGUUGUCAGGUAUCAGUCUCACAUGAAAAAAUGUCAGGUCUCAGCCUCACACAAAAAAAUGUCAGGUCUCAGACUCACACGAAAAAAUGUCAGGUCUCAGAAUCACAUGAAAAAAUGUCAGGUCUCAGCCUCACACGAAAAAAUGUCAGGUCUCAGUCUCACACAAAAAAAAUGUCAGGUCUCAGACUCACAUGAAAAAAUGUCAGGUCUCAGUCUCACACGAAAAAAUGUCAGGUCUCAGUCUCACACAAAAAAAAUGUCAGGUCUCAGACUCACAUGAAAAAAUGUCAGGUAUCAGUCUCACACGAAAAAAUGUCAGGUCUCAGUCUCACACGAAAAAAUGUCAGGUCUCAGACUCACAUGAAAAAAUGUCAGGUCUCAGUCUCAGAUGGAGGCUGCCAUCUUGCAAAUUUGGAGUAGUGACUUGAGGUGGAGCGACUGUGUAACGCUUCCGCUCACACACCCGCUGGUGACCGCAAACACGCCCCCUACAC
ensembl:lncRNA